rnacentral:rRNA from 1 species
GCGGAGGAAAAGAAACCAACAGGGAUUGCCCUAGUAACGGCGAGUGAAGCGGCAACAGCUCAAAUUUGAAAUCUGGCUCUCGGGCCCGAGUUGUAAUUUGUAGAGGAUACUUUUGAUGCGGUGCCUUCCGAGUUCCCUGGAACGGGACGCCAUAGAGGGUGAGAGCCCCGUCUGGUUGGAUGCCAAAUCUCUGUAAAGUUCCUUCAACGAGUCGAGUAGUUUGGGAAUGCUGCUCUAAAUGGGAGGUAUAUGUCUUCUAAAGCUAAAUACCGGCCAGAGACCGAUAGCGCACAAGUAGAGUGAUCGAAAGAUGAAAAGCACUUUGAAAAGAGAGUUAAAAAGUACGUGAAAUUGUUGAAAGGGAAGCGUUUAUGACCAGACUUGGGCUUGGUUAAUCAUCUGGGGUUCUCCCCAGUGCACUUUUCCAGUCCAGGCCAGCAUCAGUUUUCCCCGGGGGAUAAAGGCGGCGGGAAUGUGGCUCUCUUCGGGGAGUGUUAUAGCCCACCGUGUAAUACCCUGGGGGGGACUGAGGUUCGCGCAUCUGCAAGGAUGCUGGCGUAAUGGUCAUCAACGACCCGUCUUGAACC